AAAAAAAAGGAGGCUCUGUAUUCAAAUGCCAGCUAUAUAGAUUGGUAAGGAUAUUUAACCUGUCUUUAUCUCUGUUUCCUCGGCUGUCAAAUGUCCAUAGUGGGAACGCUUGAAGUGAGUGUGAAGAUUCAAUGGGAUGAUCCAUAGAAAGCACUAUAUGGAGUCAGAUAAGUCCUGAUACACUGAUAUAUGCCACAAUUCUACACUACAAUCCAUUGCCUGCCAACAACUGUAAUAUCACGAGAACUAAUCUGUUGUGCUGGUGAAAUGUUCUUAUCUCAGCUAGAAGAAGUCAUCUCAACAUACUCUCCAUGCCUGUGGAUUUCUGACACUGUUGCAGAGAAGCUUUUCUGUCCCUGGACAGUGAUCUGCCUUCUUCUUUACUCUAUGGUGUAA